GAUGAACGCUGGCGGCGUGCCUAAUACAUGCAAGUCGAGCGAACAGACGAGGAGCUUGCUCCUCUGACGUUAGCGGCGGACGGGUGAGUAACACGUGGAUACCCUACCUAUCUGACUGGGAUAACUUCGGGAAACCGGCGCUUAUCCCGGAUAACAUGUUGAACCGCAUUGUUCAACAGUGAAAGACGGUCUUGCUGUCACUUCUAGAUGGAUCCGCGCCUCAUUAGCUAGUUGGUAAGGUAACGGCUGACCAAGGCAACGAGGCGUAGCCGACCUGAGAGGGUGAUCGGCCACACUGGAACUGAGACACGGUCCAGACUCCUACGGGAGGCAGCAGUAGGGAAUCUUGCGCAAUGGGCGAAAACCUGACGGAGCAACGCCGCGUGAGUGAAGAAGGUCUUCGGAUCGUAAAACGCUGUUAUUAGGGAAGAACAAAUGUGUAAGGAACUAUGCACGUCUUGACGGUACCUAAUCAGAAAGCCACGGCUAACUACGUG
rnacentral:rRNA from 1 species